GCCUCUGUCUCCAUUUGGAAUCACCACUGAGAGCCAUAGAUGCUGGUGCCCACCUACUUUCCCAGCACACGGAUUGCUAAAGCAUGAACUGUAGUUUUGUACGUAGAUUCAUAUAUUUGAACAAUUGUCCCAGUUGAUGGAAAUGUUUCAGAAGGAUAUAGCAGGUGUAGCCUUGAUGGAGAAGGAUCCAGUGGGGAACCCUCAAGAUGCUCUGAUGACCAGCAGGAGCCUGAUUUCCUAGGGACUAGAGGCUGCUUAUUUCUUCUCCUGCCCCUGCUAACUGUGCCAGGUGCCUGCUGUGUGUGGAUAAAAGGGCCCCACACACCACAGAUAUCUCUCCCCCUUCCUCUCCCCUUCUCCUCCUCUGCUCUCAUUUCUCUCAACC
rnacentral:lncRNA from 1 species